GCGCUCGCUUCAGCAGUACAUAUACUAAAAUUGGAACGGUACAGAGAAGAUCAGCCUGGCUCCUGUGCAAGGAUGAUGUGCAAAUUCGUGAAGCACUCCAUAUAAAA
ensembl:snRNA U6 U6 spliceosomal RNA